rnacentral:rRNA from 1 species
GUGGGGAAUAUUGCACAAUGGGGGGAACCCUGAUGCAGCGACGCCGCGUGAGGGAAGAAGGUUUUUGGAUUGUAAACCUCUGUCCUUGGUAAAGAAGCAAGACGGUAGCCAAGGAGGAAGCUACGGCUAACUACGUGCCAGCAGCCGCGGUAAUACGUAGGUGGCAAGCGUUGUCCGGAAUUACUGGGUGUAAAGGGAGCGUAGGCGGUUAUGCAAGUUGAAUGUGAAAUCUAUCGGCUCAACUGAUAGGCUGCGUUCAAAACUGUAUAUCUUGAGUGAAGUAGAGGCAGGCGGAAUUCCUAGUGUAGCGGUGAAAUGCGUAAAUAUUAGGAGGAACACCAGUGGCGAAGGCGGCCUGCUGGGCUUUAACUGACGCUGAGGCUCGAAAGCGUGGGUAGCAAACAGG